rnacentral:rRNA from 1 species
AGAGUUUGAUCCUGGCUCAGGAUGAACGCUAGCGGCAGGCUUAACACAUGCAAGUCGAGGGGCAGCGCGGGGUAGCAAUACUCUGGCGGCGACCGGCGGAAGGGUGCGUAACACGUGAGCGACUUGCCCGAUACAGGGAGAUAACCGGUGGAAACGCCGACUAAUAUCCCAUACGACAUGAGGCUGCAUGGCCUUGGGUUGAAAGGUUCGCCGGUAUCGGAUAGGCUCGCGGGACAUUAGCUGGAUGGCGGGGCAACGGCCCACCAUGGCGACGAUGUCUAGGGGUUCUGAGAGGAAGACCCCCCACACUGGGACUGAGACACGGCCCAGACUCCUACGGGAGGCAGCAGUGAGGAAUAUUGGUCAAUGGGCGGAAGCCUGAACCAGCCAUGCCGCGUGAAGGACUAAGGCCCUAUGGGUCGUAAACUUCUUUAGACGCAGAGCAAUAAGGGCCUCGUGAGGUCCGAUGAGAGUAUGCGUAGAAUAAGCAUCGGCUAACUCCGUGCCAGCAGCCGCGGUAAUACGGGGGAUGCGAGCGUUAUCCGGAUUUAUUGGGUUUAAAGGGUGCGUAGGCGGCGAAUUAAGUCAGCGGUGAAAGACCGGGGCUCAACCCUGGAAGUGCCGUUGAUACUGAUUGGCUAGAAUACCCUUGCCGUGGGAGGAAUGAGUGGUGUAGCGGUGAAAUGCAUAGAUAUCACUCAGAACACCGAUUGCGAAGGCAUCUCACGAAGGGGCGAUUGACGCUGAGGCACGAAAGCGUGGGGAUCGAACAGGAUUAGAUACCCUGGUAGUCCACGCAGUAAACGAUGAUGGCUAACUGUCGGGCCUACGGGUUCGGCGGCCAAGCGAAAGCGAUAAGCCAUCCACCUGGGGAGUACGACCGCAAGGUUGAAACUCAAAGGAAUUGACGGGGGCCCGCACAAGCGGAGGAACAUGUGGUUUAAUUCGAUGAUACGCGAGGAACCUUACCCAGGCUCGAACGGCACCUGAAUCACCCAGAGAUGGGUGAGUCUUCGGACAGGUGUCGAGGUGCUGCAUGGUUGUCGUCAGCUCGUGCCGUGAGGUGUCGGCUUAA